UUGACCUCAAAUCAGGUAGGAUUACCCGCUGAACUUAAGCAUAUCAAAAGGCCGGAGGAA
rnacentral:rRNA from 1 species